UUCAUGGACAAGUGUGGCUUCCCCAGGCAAAUAAACCAGGUGCUCACAGGAUCCGGUAGAUUCAGCUUUUGAAGUCUUGUGUUCUUGGCAUCAGAGUGGCCCUGAGACCAGCCUGCCACAUUAUAAUCCAGGGCUCCCGUCUUUCGCCAUUGAAACACUAUUUCCAGGUGGAACAUGAUUAGUAUGGAGACAAUCCACUAUUUGCUCAAGGGUGACCUGGUGCUGAGGACUGCAGGAGGCAGAAAGGACAGAGAGGUCACGCCUGCCUUGCAGAAGAUAACGGUGGCUGCAGGUGACUGCACAUGUCAUGAGGAAGAAGAGCUUGUGAAGGGAGGGAAAAUUGUGAAUUGGAGGCCUAGAAAAGGCCGUUUGGCAAGGAACGUUUCUGAUGAUGAGUCUCACCAGAGUAGAUUUUCUGGUUGCCCUUGCUAUGAAAGUGACACUACUCAUUCAGAUUCCUCGGGGCCUCCUAUUAAAUGUAUUGGUGACUUUGAUGACUUCCAGAGUGACCUUGAGAACUGGGAGUUGGAUGAUGAAGCCUGUGUUGUAUCUUUCCCUGAGCUGAAAAUUGAUUCUCAGUACGAGGAAGAGGACUGGGAUAAAGAAUUGGAGGAUGCUGAAUGUAAUCCUUAUGACGCGGAAGAUAUCGACUAUGGUAGUCUUCAGGAAAAUUGUCUACUGGCAUCAUGUACAUGGCAAGAAGAAUCAUUGUAUAAUCCCAGGUGUCACCAUGCAGCUCCACUCUCUCUGAGUUCGCCAAAUAGAAUGCCUGAGGUUGGCCAGUUUGAUGAUGCAGAUGACUGAGGUUUGCCCCUGUUCAGGGCCAUGCUUGGCAAAUUGGACUUUGCUCCAUUGCAGGGAUGCAGUGCAAUGUGGGGUGCCUUCACCUAGCCUAUUGAGUUCCAAACAGGGCUUUUCUGAAAACUUUCUUUGAGAAUAUUAUUGAGCUGCAAAUACACUGAUCAUGAUUGACUGGAAGGAAGCAGAGAGGAUCUCAGACUGAACACUAACCUUAGGUUGUUUCACCAUUCAUUGUUCUAGACGGAAACAAAGUAACGAACAGCUGCAGAAAAGCUCAUUCAGUUGGGUGGUGAGGGGACUAGGUGGUGUGAUAAUUGAUUUGUCUUUUUACUGGGAUCAGUGGUGCUGCUAAGAAUCUACUGGGGAAUUGUUCUAUCUUCUAAACUGGCACAAGGAGAGCUGCAAAUUUCAGAUAGUAUUAUCUGUGUGGAUGCUCUGCAUGGCUGAUAACUAUUAUGCUCAUGGACUUAUGCAGCACUUUCUGCCAAAGGAUCUCCAAACCCUUUAUACCGGGGAACUAACCCUCCCAACUCUGUGGCUAGAAAGGCAUCACACUCAGUUUGCUGCCCUCUGCUGGAAGAAAUCAGAACUGCUCAGCUGCAUGUCAGAGUCCCUAUACUGUUAACCGCGAGUCCCUUUGAGCACUACUUGUUGCUUCCUGUGCUUUUGGAGGAGGUAGAUCUGCAUUCUAUUCCUGCUGCAAUUUGGAAGUUGUAGGUGGUCACAAAUUUGUCACAUUAUACCACAAAUAGUUUAUA